CAAGGAAUUAAGAGUUUAUGGGGGAUACCUUGGCAUUCAGAAGCGAUGAAGGACGCGGUUACCAGCGAAAUGCUUCGGGUAGUUGGAAACAAGCUAUGAUCCGGAGGUCUCCGAAUAAGGAAACUUUUUAUACUACUUAUUGAAUACAUAGAUAAGAAAGAGCGAACCUAGGGAACUGAAACAUCUUAGUACCUAGAGGAAAAGAAAGUAAAAAACGAUUCCCUUAGUAGCGGCGAGCGAACUGGGAGAAGCCUAAACUUAAUUUUAUUAAGGGUAGUGGGACAAUUGUUAAAAAAAAAAGAA
rnacentral:rRNA from 1 species